rnacentral:rRNA from 1 species
GACGAACGCUGGCGGCGUGCUUAACACAUGCAAGUCGAACGGAAAGGCCUCGUUCGGGGGGUACUCUAGUGGCGAACGGGUGAGUAACACGUGAGUAACCUGCCCUUGACUUUGGGAUAACUUCGGGAAACUGGGGCUAAUACCGGAUAAUAUAGUGAACCGCAUGGUGCAAGAUUGAAAGACGUUUUUGCUUUCGCUUAUAUAUGGAUCCGCGCCGCAUUAGCUAGUGUGUAAGGUAACGGCUUACCAAGGGGACGACGCGUAGACGACCUGGGCGGGUGAUCGGCCACACGGGAACUGAGACAGCGACCCGAGUACUAAGGGAGGCAGCAGUAGGGAACCUGACGCAACGGGCGAAAGCAUGACGGAGUAACGGCGAGUGAGUGAUGACGGUGUUCGGAUCGUAAUAAUCUGUUACUAGGGAAGAACCACUGUGUAAGUAAAUAUGCCCGUAUUGACGGUACCUACUGAGAAAGCAACGGCUAACUACGUG